rnacentral:rRNA from 1 species
UACAAACUCGAAUGGUUAGUAUGAACGUGGAACUUGGUUGGACCGUCACUGGCCAACAAACUAUACACAACUUUCGACAACGGAUCUCUUGGUUCUCCCAUCGAUGAAGAACGCAGCGAAACGCGAUAGGUAAUGUGAAUUGCAGAAUUCCGUGAAUCAUCGAAUCUUUGAACGCACCUUGCGCUCUAUGGCAAUCCGUAGAGCAUGCCUGUUUGAGUACCAUGAAAUCUCCCACCCCAAGCGGUUUUUACAUGAAACGGCUUGGCGGAUGGGGUCUGGAUGGGUGCCUCUGCCUGCGCUACCUAGCACAGGCUCGCCCGAAAUGCAUGAGCGCCUUGAGACACUUUGCAUCCGCCUCUCUGUUUGGGAGGAGGCGGCCAAGCAGUGUUUUUCUCCUGGCAUGGCAUGAUACGUCAUUUGCUAUGUCGCCUAAAGGAGGAAUGUUUGGUUGUGUCUGCGUGUGCUUCGAACUUGCCUCUGUGGCACAUCCCAAUUUCACUUCUGGUCUCAAAUCAGGUAGGAUCACCCGCUGAACUUAAGCAUAUCAAUAAGCGGAGGA